rnacentral:lncRNA from 10 species
CAUGGACCUAGGUGAGGACAGGCACUUCUGCCUUCCUUCCCAAGGGUUGCAUUUUUCAAGACUACCCUGGCCAGCCACGCUCCUAUCCUGGGCCUAUAGAAACCCGAGACCCUAGCAAGGCAGAGACAGAAGCUGCUGGCCCGCCAGAGGAACACAUAGAUGGAAGAAGACAAGCAGCUGGACAUGGAGAAGACAUUGGGAGCACACUAGGGGAAGAGCACACAGACAAACGCCAGCAUGCUGACAGGGUCUCAUUCCAUCACCUAGGCUGGAGUGCAGUGGCCCCAUCUCGGCUCAUUGCAUCCUCUGCCUCCCAGGUUCAAGUGAUUCCUAUUCCUUUCAAGUGAUUCUCCUGAGGAACUAGAAUUACAGGUGUGUAGUCACCACGUCUGGUUAAUUUGUGUGUGUGUGUGUGUUUUGUUUUGUUUUUAGUAGAGAUGAGGUUGCACCAUGUUGGCCAGGCACCAGCCUCAAACUCCUGGACUCAAGUAAUCCACUGGCGUUCGUCUUCCCUGAGUACUGGGAUUGCAGGAGAAGAUAUUGCACAAUUCUACUCCCCUGAUCAAUUUUCGCCACUCCUCAAUCCCAUUACAUAUAUUAUGAGGGAUGUUUUAAUGUUAAGGUCUAGUAUAAUGUCAACAUUUGAAAGUUUAUAAUUAUGUAUGAAUACACUCCUGGAAAAAUCACUGAGAAAACCCAUAAAACAUAAACUACUUGACAUUUUAAAUAAUUUUCCAAGCCAAUCACUUUACAUUUUCCAAAUCAGUGAAUGCAUAAGGAUUAAAAAUCCUGAUUUUUUUUCUUGAACAAUUAGAAGACAUAUACUAAAAUAAAUAAGUACAAGCACAAAUUCAGGAGUAUAGAGCUAAUUUUUUUAGGCUUUUUAUGCAUUGUUGAUUUUCUUGUGUGUGUGUUUCACAGUGAAUUUUUCAAGAUGAAAGAUUUUUACUGAAUAUAAAAAAAAUUUUCCCAAGUUACAAGGAUUUUCCAAAUGAACUUUAAACCAGGAUUUUGUGCUAGUAUGAGGACAACCUCGAGAGUAGUUAUCUGUAAUCCAUCAAUAAGUAAUAGUGUAAAUGUAAACACCAUGAACUCUGGAGACAGCCUGAGAGGGUUUUACUGUUGCUCUACUACUGUUAACUGUGCAAAUAUCAGCAAGUUAGGUGACAUUUCUACACCUUAAUUUUCUCAUCUGCAAAAUGGGGAUUAAAUAUAAGUACCUACCUCAUUGCUUAUUGUGAGAAUUAAAUGAGUGUUCAUGUGUAAAGUGCUUAACAAGGAACUUGAUGUUUACUAGUACUAUUUAUAAAGAAUAUUAAAAAUGAAUUGUGAAGUAGAAAAACAAGUGGAAUUUAAAUUUUUAAGUUUUGGAAAUAUUAAAAUUAUAUUAAUUGUAUAUUUUCAUUAACCAUCUGAACAUGAACUUUUUUCCUACACAAUAUAUAUGCUUCAAAAUAUUUUAUAUUCAAUAGAUUUAAUUAUAGAAUGAUCUUUAAUGUAAUGCUACUAGAAAACACUACAAAAAUACGAUCAUUAUGAGUUUGACUUCUCUUUUUAUUUUACUGAGGUAUAAUUAACAAAUAAAAAUUGUGUAUAUUCAUGGAAUACCACACAAUGUUUUUAUAUACAUACACAUUGUAAAAUGAUGACCAUGAUCAAGCUAAUUAACAUUUACAUCAUUUGUGUGUAUAGAGAGAAAACAUGUAAGGAAAAAGCAAUUUAUUAAAUUGAAAAAUAUUUCAUGAAAUGGUUUGAAACAUAAAUUAAUGCAAACACUAUUAUGACGAGAAAAAAAUAAAAUGACUUCUUUUUACUCUUGUAAUCUUAGUCAAUGUCUGAAACAAAACAAUAAAUUAUACAGGAAGACUAUCACCUUCAAUAUUUAUCAUUUCUUUAUGUUGAGAGCAUUUGGAAUCUUCUAGUUAUUUUGGAAAAAGAAUAAAUCAUUAUCAACUAUAGCUACCUACUAUGCUAUUAAACACUAGAACGUACUCCAUGUUUGUACCCAUUUAACAAUCCCUUUUUAUACUCAUCUUUCUACUAUCCUUCCCCACUUCUGGUAACCACCAUUCUAUUCACUAGCGUCAAGAGAUUUUUUUUUUAAUUCCCAUGUGUGAGUGACCACAAGUAUUACGUAUU